GACGAACGCUGGCGGCGUGCUUAACACAUGCAAGUCGAACGCUGAAGCUUGGUGCUUGCACUGGGUGGGUGAGUGGCGAACGGGUGAGUAAUACGUGAGUAACCUGCCCUUGACUCUGGGAUAAGCCUGGGAAACUGGGUCUAAUACCGGAUAUGACAUGCCACUGCAUGGUGGUGUGUGGAAAGGGUGUUACUGGUUUUGGAUGGGCUCACGGCCUAUCAGCUUGUUGGUGGGGUAAUGGCCUACCAAGGCGACGACGGGUAGCCGGCCUGAGAGGGUGACCGGCCACACUGGGACUGAGACACGGCCCAGACUCCUACGGGAGGCAGCAGUGGGGAGUAUUGCGCAAUGGGCGGAAGCCUGAUGCAGCGACGCCGCGUGAGGGAUGACGGCCUUCGGGUUGUAAACCUCUUUCAGCACGGAAGAAGCGGGAGUGACGGUACGUGCAGAAGAAGCGCCGGCUAACUACGUG
rnacentral:rRNA from 1 species